rnacentral:tRNA from 1 species
AUAAAAGUAUCCAGGGAUGGGAAUCGAACCCACAGUGUUCCGCUUACCGGGCAGAUGCCAUGUCCACUAGGCUAUGAAUUA